rnacentral:rRNA from 1 species
AGUUGGGUGGGGUACCGGCCCACCAAGGCGACGAUCCAUAGCCGGCCUGAGAGGGUGAACGGCCACAUUGGGACUGAGACACGGCCCAGACUCUUACGGGAGGCAGCAGUGGGGAAUAUUGCACAAUGGGGGAAACCCUGAUGCAGCGACGCCGCGUGAAGGAAGAAGUAUCUCGGUAUGUAAACUUCUAUCAGCAGGGAAGAUAGUGACGGUACCUGACUAAGAAGCCCCGGCUAACUACGUGCCAGCAGCCGCGGUAAUACGUAGGGGGCAAGCGUUAUCCGGAUUUACUGGGUGUAAAGGGAGCGUAGACGGUGUGGCAAGUCUGAUGUGAAAGGCAUGGGCUCAACCUGUGGACUGCAUUGGAAACUGUCAUACUUGAGUGCCGGAGGGGUAAGCGGAAUUCCUAGUGUAGCGGUGAAAUGCGUAGAUAUUAGGAGGAACACCAGUGGCGAAGGCGGCUUACUGGACGGUAACUGACGUUGAGGCUCGAAAGCGUGGGGAGCAAACAGGAUUAGAUACCCUGGUAGUCCACGCCGUAAAC